CCUUUUAUAACGUCAGUAGUUCAACUGCGUCACUUUCUGGCACGUGCCAAAAGUUUGUUUAGCUGCUGAUUGUGUAUACCGGUAAAUUUAAAGUUUCAAUUUAUUAAUAUUUGAAACCAUGGGGGAUGUUACUAAAUCCUUUCUUUACGCGUGGUGUGGGAAGAAUAAAGUCACCCCUACAUAUGAAGUUAGAGGAAGUAAACAACGACAAAGAUUUUUAUGUGAAGUAAGAGUUCCGGGAUUUGAUUAUGUUGGUAUAGGAGACUCUACAAACAACACAGAUGCACAGACGAAUGCUGCUCGAGAUUUUUUAUUAUAUCUACUAAGAGCUGGGAAAAUAUCGCAGUCGGAAGUGCCUGUUGAAUUUCCUGUUGGACUUCAGAAUCCAGGACCUUCAGGAUUACCAUCUGGUGAACCACAAGCACAUUACAUCCAAUUAUACAGCGAGGAAAAACAUGAUCCAAGGACCAAAGCACCUGGGCAUAAAAUGGAAAUAAAGUUUCCUAACGAAGGUAUCGGAUAUGAAUAUGACCCAGCAGAUUUUAAUAGUCACAGUGUGACUAAUAUGAGCAAAGAGUACAACAGAACAACAACAAUGGGGAAGGCUGUUCGGUUCCAAGAUAAAACUGGAGUUCAGUCUCCGGGUCCUGCUGCCUAUACUCGGGAGGAAGGAGAUAGUUCUAUUUAUCAUAGAGCACCAUCCUAUUCAAUGUCACAUACGGAACGAAGUGAAACGAGACCUUCUGGCACUCCAGCUUGUAAUUCCUACUCUCUUCCAACUUCGUUUGGACCUGGAAAUACAAAUGAUGUUAAUGGUCCUUCGUACUCAAUGGGAAAAGCAAAUAAGGAAGAGUUGACUUUGAAAUCACAGAGUCCUGGCCCUGCUGCCUACCAGCUGCCUUCUAGCAAUGUUAACAUGAAUAGAGCUCCUGCAUUUUAUAUGGGAAGAACACUUCCCCCUAAAAAUGUUACUUCCUCGCCGGGUCCAGAUGCUCAUGCCGCACACAUGGUAAAAUAUGAUGAGCACAAUACUCCAGGAGUCGCUCAUGGUAUAUGGCAUACGCCAUAUAAAGCUCCUCCAGGAUUUGCUGCUGAGUAUUAACUUGGCUUCGAACAAUCUCAUAAGGUGAAAUCGACUCGGCCUACUUGAUGCCGAAUCAGAAGAGAUCACUAGAGAUAUUCCAUAUAUUCGCAGUUACAGGACCAAUGUGUUUACGUGUUACACACUACGCGUGUUAAUUAACAUCUAGCGUUGUAGAGCUAGAUGUAUGUAUUAGAUGUAGAGAUUGUCUUUUAAAAACUGGUCAACCCCACUUUGAAUUUCGACAAGUAAAAAUAUACUAAGACUUUCAUUUUACGAGAAAGAUCCAGUCAUGAGAAGAUUUAGAAAACCUACCAUAAACUGAUGAAGAAAGAAGAAAAGAAGAUGAUGAUUUGAAAUUUUCAACAAUAGUUUUAUUUGCAAUGGGCAAUAAUUAAACACAUUUUCUUAGUAUUUUUUGAAAGAAAC